CCCUCUUUUAGAGGGAGUGGCGCACGGGUGCGUAACGCGUGGGAACCUGCCCUUAGGUUCGGAAUAACUCAGAGAAAUUUGAGCUAAUACCGGAUAAUGUCUUCGGACCAAAGAUUUAUCGCCUUUGGAUGGGCCCGCGUAGGAUUAGAUAGUUGGUGGGGUAAUGGCCUACCAAGUCGACGAUCCUUAGCUGGUCUGAGAGGAUGAUCAGCCACACUGGGACUGAGACACGGCCCAGACUCCUACGGGAGGCAGCAGUGGGGAAUAUUGGACAAUGGGCGAAAGCCUGAUCCAGCAAUGCCGCGUGAGUGAUGAAGGCCUUAGGGUUGUAAAGCUCUUUUACCAGGGAUGAUAAUGACAGUACCUGGAGAAUAAGCUCCGGCUAACUCCGUGCCAGCAGCCGCGGUAAUACGGAGGGAGCUAGCGUUGUUCGGA
rnacentral:rRNA from 1 species